ensembl:lncRNA
AUGACAGCGGGGCAGUGGUCCUUCAGGUGCAGGAGCAGGGGCACCAUGCUCUGGUGCACCUGGGUUCGCAGGCCGCCGAACUUCUGGCCUGUCACCGACGCCACCAGCUCCCCGAACAGUGCCAUGGCCGCUGCCCGGACCCCGUCCCGCUCCUGCAAGGCAGAGGCUCGGAGCCCAGCCAGACCCACCUUGGACCCUCCACUCCAGAGUGACGUGGGGCCCAGUACCCUCAGCAGGACCCCUUCAUCUGGGCUCCAGGCUCCAGGAACAGACCUCAGCCUGCCCCCUCAGACAGGGCUCUGGGGCAGGGAUGAGGCUCCCCCUCAGUCAGGGCUCUGGGGCAGGGAUGAGGCUCCCCCUCAGGGCUCCGGGGCAGGGAUGAGGCUCCCCCUCAGUCAGGGCUCGGGGGCAGGGAUGACCCAGGACGGGCCCCUUCCCCUGGCCCCGCCCUGCCCCGCCCCUACCUGGCAAGGAGGCCCACGCCCUGUGGGUAGGUGUGAAUGGUGGCUAAGAGGCCCCAGGCGCCCUGCAGCUCCAUGUGGGCCAAGUCCUGCCAGUGCCCGGUGGUUGACAGCAGGCUCUUCAGUGCCUCCAGCGACGUGCUGCGGGGAGCAGAGGGUCACUGGGCGGCCUCAACCCUGGGGAGAGCGCCCACCUGCCCUGGGUGGAAGUGUGCCUCCUGGCUUCCGUCUCUGCUCCGGGCCUGGCAGCACCAAGCCUCCCUGGGGCAGCUCGCUGCCGCCCUCCUUCUGCAGAAAUGUUGGGGUGUAGGAUGGGCAGGGGCUGUCCUGGGAGCAGGGGUGGUUCCAGGGGGAAGCUCCAGAUAGGUUAGGUGCGUGGUCAGUGCGAGAUGCCCACAGCUGGCUUUUCAGGGCGGAGGCUGAGCGGAUAGGGCUGGAGAGAGGAGCAGAGAUACCAGGGGGCCAGUGGUUCCCCAAGUUGCAGGGUGGAGGGGGUCUGACUGAGCCUCGACAGGCUGUGCCAUUUGAAUGUGGGGCUGACAAUGCAGGGGUAGUGGACGGGGUGGGACGGCAGCUGGGGGUGUGGCAUUACGGGAGCCCAGAGAGUGCCAGGACCCUGAAGAUGUGGGAAACCGGGUUCCGCUGGCGGCGUGCUUGCGUGGGCUCAAGCGAGUGUGCCAGACUGCAGCACGGUGGGACCGCGUGCGGGUCAGGGACUGUGCUGCCCGAGGGCCCUGUUCUGCCCUCAACUGAGGCCCAGAGUGUCGGCGGCUCGCCCAGGGUCGCCCUAGCAUAGAGGCUGCCCAGUCCUCUGCUGCUCCUGACCCUCCCAACACCUAGGGAGGGACCAGCCCCUCCCACAGAAGAAGAAACCCAGGCUGUGAGAUGGAGCGACCAGCUCGGAGCACUCACAGCAGGGUAAGGAGGAGAUCUUAGAUCUCAGAGCCAGGUGGCAAGCAGCAUGUCAUUAUUCAUUGCUGAUUUGUUACUUGUCAACUGCCAAAACCUAGGACCGUGAAUAUGAUUUUAAAUAAAAGAGCUUUGAAUUAAACUUAAAGCUUUAAGUUGAAAAGAAGACUAAUCAGUAAGUGAGAAACAAAAGGAAGCACCCCAUGCCACAGUGAGAGAUUACUGAACAGUAACUUUAUAUACUCUCAGGAGAAGACUCUGGAGAGUCCCUUGGACUGCAUGGAGAUCAAACCAGUCCAUCCUAAAGGGAAUCAGUCCUGAAUAUUCAUUGGAAGGACUGAUGCUGAAGCUGAAGCUCAAAUACUUUGGCCACCUGAUACGAAGAACUGACUCAUUGAAAAACACCCUGAUGCUGGGAAAGAUUGAAGGCAGGAGGAGAAGCGGGGGAAUGAAAGGAUGAGGUGGUUGGAUGGCAUCACUGACUCCAUGGACCUGAGUUUGAGCAAGCUCCGGGAGUUGGUGAUGGACAGGGAAGCCUGGCCUGCAAAGAGUCAGAACGACUAAGCGACUGAAAUGAACUGAACUUUAUUUACAAGCUUCCUGGCAGCCAGGGCAAAAAGGGAAAUAUGUUGGUUUAUACCUCUAAGUGGUUGAUAGACAUGUCUUUGGAAUGAGGAGAAAGGAGAUACCCCAUUAGAGAUAGAGACUCAGCCCGUAAUGGAUGAAACAAGAGGAAUGAGAAGUCCUUUGUAGGGCAGGAUGGACAUCAACUUGAGAAGGUGCUGGCUGAGAAUUGACCAAAGCAGGAAAUGUCUCUACAAGAAGGGGUUCUGUCCAUCAGAGAUGCACAGGAAGGGGAGGGUCCCGCAGUCAGGGCUGGAGUGGGUGCUUGUGCCCUGGCAGGAAGUGGAGCCAAACCCUCGCUUGUUGGUCCCAGGGGCCAGCCCAGCUCAGCAGGAUGCCAGGAACCUCAGAGGUCGAGGACUAGCCUGACUCUGCCUUGAGUCUUGCAUGGCUGUCACAGGUAUGGCUGCAACCCCUUCCCCCACUCUACCCCCCACGCUCUCGGGGGCAACUACAGGACAGUGGGCUUCUCAACAGUUGUGCCCAGAUUCCUCCUCAGCACCUGGCUCCCUCGAUGGUACCACUGCCUCCUCCAGGCAUCAGACUGGGGACUGCAGCGCUCCACCUGGGCAGGGCCGCCCUCUGAGGCCUGGGAGCAGCUGCAGACCUCCUCACCAUCCUUGACAGCUGGCCAGAUUCACUGCUGAUUGGCCUGCCCCACUCUCAGGCCCCUGGGGAUGGUAGCAGUAUUGCAGUUGUCCUCUGGGGGAGGGGGCCCAUCCUAGCUUCAGGGAGGGUAUGGACCGAGACCUGACUAGCAGGAGCCCCGCCUGCCCCUGUGACCAAGGCGAUUGGUUCAGGGGUGAGUGUGUGGGCUAAGCUGGGCCCAUGAGAGCUGAGGGACUGAGCCCAGGGUGCCGGUCUAUUCUGUGGCUGCUGGGCCCCCACCCUCCUCUUCGGGAGAAUCUGCCCAGAGAGAAGCCAAGACCCGAGAGGUGGAAGGGGAGGGCUGAUGCUGCUGGAGCAUCUUGGUACAGCUGGGUCUGAGCAGAAGGCCCCCGCAGUGAGAUGACAGACACCCUUGCUGUCUGGGGGAGAGCCUUGCGUGAGACAGACAGAAUCCCUGCUCCCCAGAGCCUCCAUUAUACAGGGUACAGACCACAGCUGUAGAUGGCAGAACAUAACAGUGGGGAGCAGGACUGCUGUUGUACAGAAGGUGGCUGGGAGCCACAGGAGGUGAGGCUGUUGGGAAGAACAUCCCAGGAAGAGGGCACAGCAAGUGCAAAGGCCCUGAGGCAGGAGCGUGGGGCCUGAGGAAGGGUAGGAAGACGCUGAGGCUUGAGCAGAGGGUGCAUGUGGAGGGUAGGGGUGUAUGGCAGGAAAUGAGGUUCUGGAGGUGAUGGGGAGUCAGAUGCAGGGCUACUGGACCGCUGGAAGGAUUCAGCCCUUCUCGGAGUUAAAAGAAGGGGAAGAGGAUGGGAGGGUUCCAAGCACAGGUGAGGCCUGAUCUGAUUUGGGGUGGAGGGCAGCAACGGGGGGCAGGGGAGGAACAGGUGGAGGCUGGCCCCAUGGGGGCAGGGGAGGGAAGCUG